rnacentral:rRNA from 1 species
AAUGAACGUUAGCGGCGUGGAUUAGGCAUGCAAGUCGAACGCGAAAGUUCCCUUCGGGGAGCAAGUAGCGCGGCGGAAGGGACAGUAUUAACAUAAGUAACCUGCCCUCAGGACUGGGAAAUACGGCGGAAACGCCGGGCAAUACUGGACAUCGUCGCCGGGUGGCAUCGCCUGGCGAUGAAAUGCUCCGGCGCCUGGGGAGGGGCUUAUGCCCUAUCAGCUUGUUGGUGAGGUAAUGGCUUACCAAGGCUGCGACGGGUAGGGGGUGUGAGAGCAUGGCCCCCGUCACUGGGACUGAAACACUGCCCAGACUCCUACGGGAGGCUGCAGUCGAGAAUCUUCGGCAAUGGGCGCAAGCCUGACCGAGCGACGCCGCGUGGAGGCUAAGGCCCUCGGGUUGUAAACUCCUGUUGGGGGGAAACAAUAACUGAGUGAACCCCUGAGGAAGCACGGGCUAAGUUCGUG